rnacentral:rRNA from 1 species
UACGGAGGGUGCAAGCGUUGUCCGGAUUUAUUGGGUUUAAAGGGUGCGUAGGCGGGCCUUUAAGUCAGUGGUGAAAUCUCCCCGCUCAACGGGGAAACUGCCAUUGAUACUAUUGGUCUUGAAUUUAGUUGAGGUGGGCGGAAUGUGUCGUGUAGCGGUGAAAUGCUUAGAUAUGACACAGAACACCGAUUGCGAAGGCAGCUCGCUAAACUAAUAUUGACGCUGAGGCACGAAAGCGUGGGGAUCAAACAGG